AAGACUCCAUCUCAAAAAAAAAAAAAAAAAAAAAGACAUGAGAAAAAGGAAACCUUUUAGUUUUAUGAAAGGAAAAUAAGCUUUUGAGUUAAGACAUGCUCAAAUCUCAGCUCUUCCACCUCUUUGAGCCCUAGUUUUCUUAAACUAUAUUAAGAACUCAGUGAUAUAAGCAUAAUGCCUACAUAAACUAGGUUGUCAAUGCUUGUUUUUGUUUUUUAAUGGUCAAGGAAAGACUUCUAAGGAUGUUUCAGUUUCUUGUAAUAAGUAAAAAAGCUUAAGUUAAAAGUGCAAUUUAUUAGGAAAAUAAUGAAAUAGCCAAUGUAAUUCAUGAGAAAGGAUAACCAGUAGGGUAGUUUUUCUGACACUAUGAGGCUACAUGAUCAUUAUUUUUACUUUUCUCUGUGUCUGCUUCAUGUUUUACUGCAGAGAAGACUUCCCUGCAGCUACAUGCAUCACAUGGGAAAUAGCUAUCCCAUACAUAGAGCUUUCACUUCCAAACUUCAACACUAGUACUAUCUACACGUAACUGGUAUUUCUGGGCCCUU
rnacentral:lncRNA from 1 species